AUUGAACGCUGGCGGCAGGCCUAACACAUGCAAGUCGAGCGAGCGGCGGACGGGUGAGAGAUGCCUGGGAAUUGCGCGGUCGAGGGGGAGGACAGGUGGAAACGACUGCUAAUACCGCAUACGAGUGGAUUGGCAAGGUGUGAUUGGCUAGUUGGUGAGGUAAUGGCUCACCAAGGCGACGCUCCCUAGCUGGUCUGAGAGGAUGAUCAGCCACCCUGGAACUGAGACACGGUCCAGACUCCUACGGGAGGCAGCAGUGGGGAAUAUUGCACAAUGGGGGAAACCCUGAUGCAGUCAUGCCGCGUGUGUGAAGAAGGUCUUCGGGUUGUAAAGCACUUUCAGCGAGGAGGCGUUACUCGCAGAAGAAGCACCGGCUAACUCCGUGCCAGCAGCCGCGGUAAUAC
rnacentral:rRNA from 1 species